rnacentral:rRNA from 1 species
CCCGCUGAACUUAAGCAUAUCAAUAAGCGGAGGAAAAGAAACUAACAAGGAUUCCCCUAGUAACUGCGAGUGAAGCGGGAAAAGCUCAAAUUUAAAAUCUGGCGGUCUUUGGCCGUCCGAGUUGUAAUCUAGAGAAGUGUUAUCCGCGCUGGACCGUGUACAAGUCUCCUGGAAUGGAGCGUCAUAGAGGGUGAGAAUCCCGUCUUUGACACGGACUGCCAGGGCUUUGUGAUGCGCUCUCAAAGAGUCGAGUUGUUUGGGAAUGCAGCUCAAAAUGGGUGGUAAAUUCCAUCUAAAGCUAAAUAUUGGCGAGAGACCGAUAGCGAACAAGUACCGUGAGGGAAAGAUGAAAAGAACUUUGGAAAGAGAGUUAAACAGUACGUGAAAUUGCUGAAAGGGAAACGCUUGAAGUCAGUCGCGUUGGCCGGGGAUCAACCUUGCUUUUGCUGGGCGUACUUUCCGGUCGACGGGUCAGCAUCAAUUUUGAUCGUUGGAUAAAGGUUAGGGGAAUGUGGCAUCUUCGGAUGUGUUAUAGCCCUUGGUCGCAUACAACGGUUGGGAUUGAGGAACUCAGCACGCCGCAAGGCCGGGUACUUGUACCACGUUCGUGCUUAGGAUGCUGGCAUAAUGGCUUUAAUCGACCCGUCUUGAAACACGGACCAAGGAGUCUAACAUGCCUGCGAGUGUUUGGGUGG